UGAUUGGGUGGUUAGAGAUCCAGGCUCCUCCCUCAGCUCCUUAUGAAAGCUCCUCCACUCUCUCCUCUCUUCAUCCUCCACUCUGUUCAUCACUCCGCUGAUCACACAGACAACAUGCUGCCAACCCUCUGUGUUCUCCUCCCUGCUCUGACAUGGGUCAGUUCACAGAAAAUUCUGACACAAAGCCCUUCAGUACUAACUGACCAGGGCAGAACUGUCAGCCUGGACUGUAACAUCGCAAAGGAUCACAGCUACUACGUCUCCUGGUAUAAACAGAUUCCACAAGAAGCUCCUCAGUUUGUGUUGAGGUUUUAUCAUUCUCACAGCUCUCCUGAUCUUUAUGGAGAUAAUUUUCUAUCUUCACGCUUCACAUCUAAAGCCUCUUUGAGCAUCGACUACCAGUUAAUAAUCAGUAAUGUGGAGGUAGGAGACGCUGCAGUGUAUUACUGUGGAACAUGGGACAGCUCUGCAAGCGUAGGAGUAUCACAGUGAAUGAGAUCAUGACAAAAACCUCCUCACUGCUCACAUUCACUUCUACAUUUCAUUCAGCUCAUUUCUCACCUGGAGCAGAAAAGCUGAGUUAUAGCUGCAGUUCUCUUGAGCAGGACAUGUGAAGAAAUCACAGGAUACCAGAGAUGUGGAAUUCCCAGAGACUGGAAUGGGACGUGGAAGGACUCAGUGCUGAUCAUAGACAGUAGAAGAGAGAGCUGAAGUCUGGAGGACGUUUCAGUUCCGCUACUUUCACUUCUGAAACUGAGGAGGUUUUUGUACGGGAGAGGAUAUGAAAUGAAGC